rnacentral:misc_RNA from 1 species
GAUGAAGAACGCAGUGAAAUGCGAUAAGUAAUGUGAAUUGCAGAAUUCAGUGAAUCAUCGAAUCUUUGAACGCACAUUGCGCACCUUGGUAUUCCGAGGGGCAUGCCUGUUCGAGCGUCAUUAUAACCCCUCAAGCUUAGCUUGGUGUUGGGGCCUGCUGUAAUAGAGCAGCCCUUAAAAUCAGUGGCGGUGCCAUUAGGCUCUAAGCGUAGUAAUUCUUCUCGCUAUAGGGUUCUGGUGGAUGCUUGCCAUUAACCUCUAAUUUUCUAUGGUUGACCUCGGAUCAGGUAGGGAUACCCGCUGAACUUAAGCAUAUCAAUAAGCGGAGGA